GUUGAUCGCAGGAUAAAGAUAAACCCAUAAAAUGGUUAAAAAGCAAGCGAGCUGGUGAAGCAAAGCAGUUUAAUCAAGGAAGGAAGGCCAUCGCACCAUGAAGAAAGAAAUGAAAGUGUGUAUUCAAGAAUAAACGUUCGACGACGCCUUCAACACCAUGGAUAAUUGUUCUUCAUUUACCGUACAAGCGUUGUAAUCGCCGAGGCAAUCCGCCUCACAGUUAAAAUAAAUACGACGUGAGUGUGA